UACGUAGGGUGCAAGCGUUAAUCGGAAUUACUGGGCGUAAAGCGUGCGCAGGCGGUUCGUUAAGUCAGAUGUGAAAGCCCCGGGCUCAACCUGGGAACUGCAUUUGAAACUAGCGGGCUUGAGUUCGGGAGAGGCGAGUGGAAUUCCUGGUGUAGCGGUGAAAUGCGCAGAUAUCAGGAGGAACACCAAUGGCGAAGGCAGCUCGCUGGGACGGUACUGACGCUGAGACGCGAAAGCGUGGGGAGCAAACAGG
rnacentral:rRNA from 1 species